CGAGCGGCAGCGACUUAACUGAACCUUCGGGGAACGUUAAGGGCGGCGAGCGGCGGACGGGUGAGUAAUGCCUGGGAAUAUGCCCUGAUGUGGGGGAUAACUAUUGGAAACGAUAGCUAAUACCGCAUAAUCUCUUCGGAGCAAAGAGGGGGACCUUCGGGCCUCUCGCGUCAGGAUUAGCCCAGGUGGGAUUAGCUUGUUGGUGAGGUAAUGGCUCACCAAGGCAACGAUCCCUAGCUGGUCUGAGAGGAUGAUCAGCCACACUGGAACUGAGACACGGUCCAGGCUCCUACGGGAGGCAGCAGUGGGGAAUAUUGCACAAUGGGGGAAACCCUGAUGCAGCCAUGCCGCGUGUAUGAAGAAGGCCUUCGGGUUGUAAAGUACUUUCAGUAGGGAGGAAGGCAGUGUCGUUAAUAGCGGCAUUGUUUGACGUUACCUACAGAAGAAGCACCGGCUAACUCCGUGCCAGCAGCCGCGGUAAUACGGAGGGUGCGAGCGUUAAUCGGAAUUACUGGGCGUAAAGCGCAUGCAGGUGGUCUGUUAAGCAAGAUGUGAAAGCCCGGGGCCCAACCUCGGAACAGCAUUUUGAACUGGCAGACUAGAGUACUGUAGAGGGGGGUAGAAUUUCAGGUGUAGCGGUGAAAUGCGUAGAGAUCUGAAGGAAUACCGGUGGCGAAGGCGGCCCCCUGGACAGAUACUGACACUCAGAUGC
rnacentral:rRNA from 1 species